rnacentral:rRNA from 1 species
CCUACGGGUGGCAGCAGUGAGGAAUAUUGGUCAAUGGGCGCGAGCCUGAACCAGCCAAGUCGCGUGAAGGAUGACGGCCCUACGGGUUGUAAACUUCUUUUAUAAAGGAAUAAAGUGAGGCACGAGUGCCUUUUUGUAUGUACUUUAUGAAUAAGGAUCGGCUAACUCCGUGCCAGCAGCCGCGGUAAUACGGAGGAUACGAGCGUUAUCCGGAUUUAUUGGGUUUAAAGGGAGCGUCGAUGGGGUGUUAAGUCAGUUGUGAAAGUUUGAGGCUCAACCGUAAAAUUGCAGUUGAUACUGGCAGCCUUGAGUAGAGUUGAGGUAGGCGGAAUUCGUGGUGUAGCGGUGAAAUGCUUAGAUAUCACGAAGAACUCCGAUUGCGAAGGCAGCAUACUGGACGGCCACUGACACUGAUGCACGAAAGUGUGGGUAUCAAACAGGAUUAGAUACCCGAGUAGUC